GGAGUGGAGUCAUCACCAGAGUGAAGCUCCUCCACAAGUGUCCCAAGUGGAAGAGUUGACUAAAGUCCAGGUGGUGACCCGUGACCAGCCCCAGGGACCAGGUGGUGACCCCUGACCAGCUCCAGGGACCAACUGAGGCCGGACCUAAUUACCCUCACAUAAUUAACCAACUUUUUCCACCUGUGAUUGUAAUGUUAAACAAUAAAACUCAAUACAAUACUUUUUUCCUCCCUUGUAGGAAAUAUUUGAUGUGUUGAAGUUAACACUUAGUAAAAUUAAUAUCAGUAUCCUAUAUGCUUUAUUCCAUAUGUUUAUGCAUUGAUUAUUUGCUUAUGAUCCCUGAGAUUAUGACUCUUAGAUAUUUCUCCCGUUAAUACCUCACAUAUUCAAUAUUGUCCAGGUGAUAUAUGGGAACUUUAGUAUUAUUAUUACUAAGCUCAAAUCCCAACAUUUUACAGCAUUAAACUGCAUCCGCUAAUCUUUUGUCUUUUAGCACUUUUGGGAGUUUAACUCCCACAUGGAAGUUAAAUUGACGUGGGAUUUAACUCCAUUCAUGCCAACUCUCUGCUGUCUUUUUUUAAUAACCAAUAACGAAGGUGUAAUCCAACUUAGGAUAAACCCCCAUUACUAUGUACCUCCAGCUCUUUAGGCUUGUGUGGCGCAGUAUCAAAGUCCUUGUUGACGUCAAGUUAAAGAAUGUCACAAUCUUUCCUGCUAUCACCUUAAAAUUUUCAGGAAAAGAAUGAUAGAAAAUCUGCUUUACAAUACAUAAGCACCCUGCAUAAUGUUUUGUCUGGCUCUAGGGGACUAGUUUGCCUUUAGAUUGCAUAUUUGUUUAAUAACUUCCUCGCUAGUAACUACUAAACUAGUCCUCUCGACCUUCAAAGAUUUGUUCUGCUUAAUUCUGCUUAAUGCAUAGUUAAGUUUCUUUAAUAAAUACAGAGACGAAGAAUUAAUUUGAAAAAGGUCAUAUAUCUUUUUCAUUCUCAGUUACCUGACCUGCCUCAGAUUAUUAAUUGGGAAGUCUUUUCUUUAAUCUUUGUUUAAUAUAUCAGGCAAAAACGUUUUAGAAAUUGUCAUUGCUUAGUCUGCUUUACACACUUCCUAAUUUCUUGAUGCUUUCAUUAUUUCUUUAACAUUUCUAACUAGUUUGGGAUUUUGUUGUUCAAGAUUGACUUCCCCAUUUUAGGCCAUUGAUCAAAGUUUUUUCUACUGAUAAGGUUUUUAAUCCCAUGAUUAUCCAUCUAGGGUCAUUGUUGUAUGACCUAACCAAUCUAGAUGGUACACUACACUUUUGACCUUUAUUAAGCAUGUAUGUAAUAAAUUUUUUGAAUAUUA